GACGAACGCUGGCGGCGUGCUUAACACAUGCAAGUAGUACGGUAAGGCCCUUUCCUGGCUCCACGUGUAGCAAACGGGUGCGUAACACGUACGUAACCUGCCCCUGCCUUUUGGCUAACGAUAGGUAACUGGUACUAUAGCUAAUUCCGCAUUACUGCUGAUUGCACGGGGUUUGUAAUUUACGGCGGUUGUGGAUGGACUAGAGGCCUAUCCGCCUGUUUGUGGGGUAGUGGCUGACCAAGGCGGUGACCGGUAGCCGGCCUGGUAGGGUGCCCGGCCGCAUUGGGACUGAGAUAGGGCGCAGACUCCUACGGGAGGCAGCGGUGGCGAAUAUUGCACAAUGGGCGCAAGCCUGAGGCAGCGACGCCGCGUGCGUGAUGACGGGCUGCGGGUUGUAAACCGCUGUCAGCAGGGACGAAGCUUAUUGUGACGGUACCUGCAGAAGAAGCACCGGCUAACUACGUG
rnacentral:rRNA from 1 species